rnacentral:rRNA from 1 species
UCAAGCUGUAAAGGGCGCAAGGGGAAUGCCUUGGCACCAGGAGCCGAUGAAGGACGUGACAAGCUGCGAUAAGCUUGGGGGAGCGGCAAAUACGCAUUGAUCCCGAGAUUUCCGAAUGGGGAAACCCACAUGAGUGAAGCUCAUGUAUCUCAUGCUGAAUCAAAUAGGUAUGAGAAGGGAACCGCCUGAACUGAAACAUCUAAGUAGGGCGAGGAAAAGACAUCAAAAGAGAUUCCGCUAGUAGUGGCGAGCGAACGCGGAAGAGGCCAAACCGAUCGAAGCAAUUUGGUCGGGGUAAGGACUGCGAUAUGUAGUGUGAAAGAUAGCUGAAUGCUCUGGGAAGGGCAGCGAAACAGGGUGAGAGCCCCGUAAGCGACAUCGGAAACACGCUAGCAGUAUCCAGAGUACCACAGGACACGAGGAACCCUGUGGGAAUACGGGUGGACCAUCAUCCAAGCCUAAAUACUACCUGGUGACCGAUAGAGAAGCAGUACCGUGAGGGAAAGGUGAAAAGGACCCCGGGAGGGGAGUGAAAGAGAACCUGAAACCUUGUGCCUACAAGCACCGAGAGCAUGUUAAUGUGUGAUCGGGUACUUUUUGUAGAACGGUCCGGCGAGUUAAUGUAUGCAGCAAGGUUAAGAAACUGGAGUUUUGGAGCCGAAGCGAGAGCGAGUCUGAAUAGGGCGAGAAGUUGCAUGUAUUAGACCCGAAACCGGGUGACCUAUCCAUGAGCAGGCUGAAGUUGCGGUAAGACGCAAUGGAGGGCCGCACCCACGUUCGUUGAAAAGACCGGGGAUGACUUGUGGAUAGCGGAGAAAUUCCAAUCGAACUCGGAUAUAGCUGGUUCUCCCCGAAAUAGCUUUAGGGCUAGCGUUAUGAUAGAUUACCGGAGGUAGAGCACUGAAUGGGCUAGGGGCCGCGAGGUUACUGAACCCUAUCAAACUUCAAAUGCCGGAUAAUUGUUUCAUGGCAGUCAGACUGUGUGAGAUAAGUCGCAUAGUCAAAAGGGAAACAGCCCAGAUCUACAGCUAAGGUCCCAAAUGAAUACUAAGUGGAAAAUGAUGUGAAAUUGCUAAGACAACCAGGAUGUUGGCUUAGAAGCAGCCACUCAUUCAAAGAGUGCGUAAUAGCUCACUGGUCGAGUGAUUUUGCGCAGAAAAUUUAACGGGGCUAAGUAUUCAACCGAAGCUUAGGCAGUAUCAAAUACUGGGUAGGGGAGCGUCGUAUGCGGGGCGAAGUCAGAGUGGAAACACUGGUGGACUGCAUACGAGUGAGAAUGCCGGAAUAAGUAGCGAGAAUUAUGUGAGAAUCAUAAUGGCCGAAAAUCUAAGGUUUCUUGGGGAAGGUUCGUCCGCCCAAGGUUAGUCGGGAGCUAAGCUCAGGCCGAAAGGCGUAGGCGAUGCACAUACGGUUGAUAUUCCGUAACCACCGAAAGCGUUAAACCAGAGGACACAUUCAUUAAUUCUAACCCGGGCGAUGGUUGCCCCGGGCGUAAGGGACCGAAAUAAUAGUAGGGAAGUAGAAGGCGUGAGUGGCGAGAAAAGUCUGGCGUAUUGCUGAGGUGCCCGUACCGCAAACCGACACAGGUAGAUGGGAUGAGUAUUCUAAGGCCAACGGGAGAAUGGUUGUUAAGGAACUCGGCAAAUUGGCCCCGUAACUUCGGAAUAAGGGGCGCCUCUGAGAAGAGGCCGCAGUGAAAAGGCCCAAGCGACUGUUUAGCAAAAACACAGCUCUCUGCUAAAUCGAAAGAUGACGUAUAGGGGGUGACGCCUGCCCGGUGCUGGAAGGUUAAGGGGAGUGCUUAGCGCAAGCGAAGGUGCGAACUUAAGCCCCAGUAAACGGCGGCCGUAACUAUAACGGUCCUAAGGUAGCGAAAUUCCUUGUCAGGUAAGUUCUG